UGAACGCUGGCGGCAGGCUUAACACAUGCAAGUCGAGCGGAGAUGAGGUGCUUGCACCUUAUCUUAGCGGCGGACGGGUGAGUAAUGCUUAGGAAUCUGCCUAUUAGUGGGGGACAACAUUUCGAAAGGAAUGCUAAUACCGCAUACGCCCUACGGGGGAAAGCAGGGGAUCUUCGGACCUUGCGCUAAUAGAUGAGCCUAAGUCGGAUUAGCUAGUUGGUGGGGUAAAGGCCUACCAAGGCGACGAUCUGUAGCGGGUCUGAGAGGAUGAUCCGCCACACUGGGACUGAGACACGGCCCAGACUCCUACGGGAGGCAGCAGUGGGGAAUAUUGGACAAUGGGGGGAACCCUGAUCCAGCCAUGCCGCGUGUGUGAAGAAGGCCUUUUGGUUGUAAAGCACUUUAAGCGAGGAGGAGGAGCUCUAGAUUAAUACUCUAGAUGCUUGGACGUUACUCGCAGAAUAAGCACCGGCUAACUCUGUGCCAGCAGCCGCGGUAAUACAGAGGGUGCAAGCGUUAAUCGGAUUUACUGGGCGUAAAGCGUGCGUAGGUGGUCUUUUAAGUCGGAUGUGAAAUCCCUGAGCUUAACUUAGGAAUUGCAUUCGAUACUGGGAGACUAGAGUAUGGGAGAGGAUGGUAGAAUUCCAGGUGUAGCGGUGAAAUGCGUAGAGAUCUGGAGGAAUACCGAUGGCGAAGGCAGCCAUCUGGCCUAAUACUGACACUGAGGUACGAAAGCAUGGGGAGCAAACAGGAUUAGAUACCCUGGUAGUCCAUGCCGUAAACGAUGUCUACUAGCCGUUGGGGUCUUUGAGACUUUAGUGGCGCAGCUAACGCGAUAA
rnacentral:rRNA from 1 species